rnacentral:rRNA from 1 species
AUUGAACGCUGGCGGCAGGCCUAACACAUGCAAGUCGAGCGGAUGAAGGGAGCUUGCUCCUGGAUUCAGCGGCGGACGGGUGAGUAAUGCCUAGGAAUCUGCCUGGUAGUGGGGGAUAACGUCCGGAAACGGGCGCUAAUACCGCAUACGUCCUGAGGGAGAAAGUGGGGGAUCUUCGGACCUCACGCUAUCAGAUGAGCCUAGGUCGGAUUAGCUAGUUGGUGGGGUAAAGGCCUACCAAGGCGACGAUCCGUAACUGGUCUGAGAGGAUGAUCAGUCAAACUGGAACUGAGACACGGUCCAGACCCCUACGGGAGGCAGCAGGGGGGAAAUUUGGAAAAUGGGCGAAAGCCUGAUCCAGCCAUGCCGGGUGGGUGAAGAAGGUUUUCGGAUUGUAAAGCACUUUAAGUUGGGAGGAAGGGCAGUAAGUUAAUACCUUGCUGUUUUGACGUUACCAAAAGAAUAAGCACCGGCUAACUUCGU